rnacentral:misc_RNA from 1 species
CCGAGUUUACAACUCCCAAACCCCUGUGAACAUACCACUUGUUGCCUCGGCGGAUCAGCCCGCUCCCGGUAAAACGGGACGGCCCGCCAGAGGACCCCUAAACCCUGUUUCUAUAUGUAACUUCUGAGUAGAACCAUAAAUAAAUCA